GGGUCAGUAGGUUGGUCGUGCCACCGGUACGUACUGGUCUCACUGAUUCCUCCUUCCUGAAGAACCGUAAUGCCAUUAAUUUGGUGUUGCGGGGAAACAGGACUGUUACUUUGAAAAAAUUAGAGUGUUUAAAGCAAGCUAACGCUUGAAUACAUUAGCAUGGAGUAAUGAAAUAGGACGAUCGAUCCUGUUUUGUUGGUUUCUAGGAUUGACGUA
rnacentral:rRNA from 1 species